rnacentral:rRNA from 1 species
AACGAACGCUGGCGGCAGGCCUAACACAUGCAAGUCGAGCGAGACCUUCGGGUUUAGCGGCGGACGGGUGAGUAACGCGUGGGAAUAUGCCCUUCGGUUCGGAAUAGCCCGGGAAACUGGGAGUAAUACCGGAUACGGUCUACGGACGAAAGAUUUAUCGCCGAAGGAUUAGCCCGCGUUGGAUUAGGUAGUUGGUGGGGUAAUGGCCUACCAAGCCGACGAUCCAUAGCUGGUUUGAGAGGAUGAUCAGCCACACUGGGACUGAGACACGGCCCAGACUCCUACGGGAGGCAGCAGUGGGGAAUCUUAGACAAUGGGGGAAACCCUGAUCUAGCCAUGCCGCGUGAGCGAUGAAGGCCUUAGGGUUGUAAAGCUCUUUCAGCUGGGAAGAUAAUGACUGUACCAGCAGAAGAAGCCCCGGCCUAACUCCGUGCCAGCAGCCGCGGUAAU